rnacentral:rRNA from 1 species
GACGAACGCUGGCGGCGUGCUUAACACAUGCAAGUCGAACGGAAAGGCCUCUUUCGGGGGGUACUCGAGUGGCGAACGGGUGAGUAACACGUGAGUAACCUGCCCUUGACUUUGGAUUAACUUAGGGAAACGGGGGCUAAUCCCGGUAGGGGCUCCCGCCGGAAGGGGGGGGGUUGGAAGGUUCGGGGGGUGGGGAUGGGCUCGCGGCUUAUCAGCUUGUUGGUGGGGUAGUGGCUUACCAAGGCUUUGACGGGUAGCCGGCCUGAGAGGGUGACCGGCCACAUUGGGACUGAGAUACGGCCCAGACUCCUACGGGAGGCAGCAGUGGGGAAUAUUGCACAAUGGGUGGAAGCCUGAUGCAGCAACGCCGUGUGCGGGAUGACGGCCUUCGGGUUGUAAACCGCUUUCGCUCAUGACGAAGCUUUGUGUGACGGUAGUGGGUAAAGAAGCACCGGCUAACUACGUG